GAAUGGCCGCAGUAUUUUAACUGUGCUAAGGUAGCAUAAUCAUUUGUCUUUUAAUUGAGGGCUGGAAUGAAGGGUUGGACGAGGUAUUAGCUUUCUUUAAUUUAGUUAGGAGAAUUUAAUUUUUGAGUUAAAAAGCUUAAAUUUAUUUGUGGGACGAGAAGACCCUAUAGAUCUUUAUAGUUUAAUAUUUUAGUAAUUUAGGGAUUUAUGUAUUUUAAGUAGAAGAACUAUUUUGUUGGGGUGACUGUAGAAUUUGAAUAACUUCUA
rnacentral:rRNA from 1 species